rnacentral:rRNA from 1 species
AACGCUAGCUACAGGCUUAACACAUGCAAGUCGAGGGGUAGCACAGAAGAAGCUUGCUUCUUUGGGUGACGACCGGCGCACGGGUGAGUAACGCGUAUCCGACCUACCCAUAACUCGGGCACAGCCGCUCGAAAGAGUGAUUGAUUCCCGAUAUGUCAUUAGAGUAGAUUUAAUGAUGAAAGAUUCAUCGGUUAUGGAUGGGGAUGCGUAAGAUUAGGUAGUAGGCGGGGUAACGGCCCACCUAGCCGACGAUCUUUAGGGGUUCUGAGAGGAAGGUCCCCCACACUGGUACUGAGACACGGACCAGACUCCUACGGGAGGCAGCAGUGAGGAAUAUUGGUCAAUGGGCGGAAGCCUGAACCAGCCAAGUAGCGUGAAGGAUUACAGCCCUACGGGUUUUAAACUUCUUUUAUAUAGGAGUAAUGUGCACUACGUGUAGUGUAUUGCAAGUAUUAUAUGAAUAAGCAUCGGCUAACUCCGUGCCAGCAGCCGCGGUAAUACGGAGGAUGCGAGCGUUAUCCGGAUUUAUUGGGUUUAAAGGGAGCGUAGGCGGGAUAUUAAGUCAGUCGUCAAAGCCUGUGGCUCAACCACAGCCCGCGAUUGAUACUGGUAACCUCGAGUGCGGAUGAGGUGGAUGGAAUUCGUGGUGUAGCGGUGAAAUGCUUAGAUAUCACGAAGAACUCCGAUUG